AACGAACGCUGGCGGCAGGCCUAACACAUGCAAGUCGAGCGAGGACUUCGGUCCUAGCGGCGGACGGGUGAGUAACGCGUGGGAACGUGCCCUUUGCUACGGAAUAGCCCCAGGAAACUGGGAGUAAUACCGUAUGUGCCCGAGAGGGGAAAGAUUUAUCGGCAAAGGAUCGGCCCGCGUUGGAUUAGGUAGUUGGUGGGGUAAUGGCCUACCAAGCCGACGAUCCAUAGCUGGUUUGAGAGGAUGAUCAGCCACACUGGGACUGAGACACGGCCCAGACUCCUACGGGAGGCAGCAGUGGGGAAUCUUAGACAAUGGGCGCAAGCCUGAUCUAGCCAUGCCGCGUGAGCGAUGAAGGCCUUAGGGUUGUAAAGCUCUUUCAGUGGGGAAGAUAACGACGGUACCCACAGAAGAAGCCCCGGCUAACUCCGUGCCAGCCGCCGCGGUAAAAC
rnacentral:rRNA from 1 species